UCAGGUGAGGGAUUCAAUGACGGCUUUCCUCUUGUAUUGAAUAGUGGGUCUGACUUAAUUAAGGAGUGGGACCAAUAUCUGUCAGGUGAGACUUCCAUGACUUAGAGAUUGAAUCGCUGUAAUAUGCUUGAGAAGCAUUGGAUAAAAAUUUUUCACUCAUUGAUAUGCGUGUCAUCAAUAUCUAUCAGAUGAAGUAUCGUAUGUCAGUAGGACUGCAGUAUCCAUUAAAAAUCCUAGUCACAAAGGGCUUUCAUUUCUCUAUCCGAGGAGUGUAAGACUCAGAAAAAUAAUGAGAGUAACAUUUAUUUUAAAAGAUCCUAAAAUAAAUUAAAAAUCAAGUAUAAAAUCUAAUUAGAAUUUCUUCUCUCUGCAGUUCACAAUGUCAACUUCCAACCCUUUAGCCCGAACUCUUGAAACCAAUCGACUGACCGAAAAUAACUACAAGGACUGGCGUAGGAACCUCAGAAUUUGUUCUGAACUCAGAAA
rnacentral:lncRNA from 1 species